UCAAAUAAGCGAAUAAGAGGAAGGAUGAAAAACAACCUGUCAUUAAAAGCAAUAGUAUUAGUAAAUUAACCAUUAUUUCUUUAAUUUACUAAUACUAUUGCUUUUAAUGACAGGUUGUUUUUCAUCCUUCCUCUUAUUCGCUUAUUUGA